rnacentral:rRNA from 1 species
UACGUAGGUCCCGAGCGUUGUCCGGAUGUAUUGGGCGUAAAGCGAGCGCAGGUGGUUUAUUAAGUCUGGUGUAAAAGGCAGUGGCUCAACCAUUGUAUGCAUUGGAAACUGGUAGACUUGAGUGCAGGAGAGGAGAGUGGAAUUCCAUGUGUAGCGGUGAAAUGCGUAGAUAUAUGGAGGAACACCGGUGGCGAAAGCGGCUCUCUGGCCUGUAACUGACACUGAGGCUCGAAAGCGUGGGGAGCAAACAGG